rfam:Canis lupus familiaris chromosome X, whole genome shotgun sequence.
AGGAGGAACAACCCCAGUGGUUGCUGCAGCUCUGGAAACCUGGAUUCAGCCCCCGCAGGAACUCCGGAGCUCUCCGUCUGCAGGGCCUGGAGGCUCCGGGGUGGG